UACGUAGGGGGCAAGCGUUGUCCGGAUUUAUUGGGCGUAAAGCGCACGUAGGCGGCUUUGCAAGUCCCAUGUGAAAUCCCACGGCUCAACCGUGGAAGUGCAUGGGAAACUGCAGAGCUUGAGUACUUAAGAGGAUCGCGGAAUUCCCGGUGUAGAGGUGAAAUUCGUAGAUAUCGGGAGGAACACCAGUGGCGAAGGCGGCGAUCUGGGAAGAUACUGACGCUGAGGUGCGAAAGCGUGGGGAGCAAACAGG
rnacentral:rRNA from 1 species